rnacentral:lncRNA from 12 species
AGAACACCAGCUUUGGUCAGUCAUGGUCUUUACUCCCAUUUCAAGAGGCUGAGCCCAGCAUCUCUGAGGGUGACCUGACCAAACCUCAGCAACUCUGUGAUGCCCAAGAAUGGGCUGGUGGAAGGAGAAGAGUGGAUAGUGAUGAAGCAACGGUGAGCUUGAAGCAAGGCCAGGUGAGACACCCUGAGAAACAAAGCAAGUAAUAAAACCCCAGAGAAAAACAGCACUCCGCACCCAGCCAGGCCCUCUCCUGGAGCUGCCAAAAAGGCACCCUUGGCUCAGAGGUAAGCAGUCAUAAAAUGCAGGGAGAGACUUCCCAGGGAGGGAAGGUUUUACCUGUCGAGCAAGUUCACGGGUACCCUCACCC